AUGUUCUUUGCAAAGAGUGAUUUCCAUACGGUGGAGACGUUUCGUUCCACUCUAACAGCCUACUGUGAUGCCUCUGGCCAGAAGAUAAAUUUGAGGAAGUCCUCAAUUUUCUUUGGCUCUAGGUGUUCGCACAGUGUUAAACAAGAGGUUAAGAACAUACCGCAGGUUCACAAUGAAGUACUACAAAACACAUACCUUGGCAUGCCUACUGAGAUAGGCCGAGCUAUUUGUGGUUCUUUUAGUUUCUUGCCCGAUCGUGUGUGGAAGAGCAUACAUGGAUGGACUGGUCGGCUCUUGUCAGGGGCCGGUAAGGAGGUACGCUUGAAAGUGGUUGUACAGUCCAUACCGAGUUAUGUUAUGAGCUGCUUCCAGGUUCAUGUGUCAACGUGUGACAAGAUGAGAAAGUCCAUUGCUGACUAUUGGUGGGGCAUUGCGGAUGGCCGAAAAAGAUGCACUAGCGCAGUUGGGAAUGGCUAUCCACUCAUAAAUCUCUUGGCGGCAUGGGAUUCCGUGAUUUUGUGCUCUUUAAUCAAGCACCGCUGGGGAAGCAGAGCUGGCGCUUACUGA
rnacentral:rRNA from 1 species